CAUUUUUAUCAAUUUUCAAUUUCAUGUGUUGUUUCCGUAUAUGCUAUGUUUCAUUGCUCAUGUGGUGUUUUCGUAUAUUUUAGCCGCUCGUCUUGAGUCUACUCAUUUGAUCCGAUAACACCCCAUAUAGCAAUAAAAUUAUACUUUUAUUGCCAUUCAUAACUCUUAACAGACCGAGUUUUCUACAUCCGACCCAUUAACAGACCAGG
rnacentral:lncRNA from 1 species